rnacentral:rRNA from 1 species
GCUUAUGGCCAUACCACCCUGAGAACGCCCGAUCUCGUCUGAUCUCGGAAGCUAAGCAGGGUCGGGCCUGGUUAGUACUUGCAUGGGAGACUGCCUGGGAAUACCAGGUGCUGUAAGCU